GUUACAAUGAUUUCAGGAAGUUUGCACCCAAUAAAUACUCUACGCAGUGCUUUAGUGACACCUGAAAAGUACCUCACCUGUGACACCUGAAGACUCACUGUAGAAAAAGCAAAACUCAAAAAUGCCUGGAAACCUCCUGAAAAAUCCACAUGGAUAUGAGGAUUUUAGAAACUGGGAGUUGAUGCAGAAAGAUGGAGACCAAUGGCAAAUUGAACAGAUGCCAGAUGAUUCAGUGGCUUCAUACUUCUACACCUCUUCUAAG